AACGUAGGUGGCGAGCGUUAUCCGGAAUUACUGGGCGUAAAGCGUGCGCAGGCGGUUCGUUGUGUCGGUGGUGAAAGCCCCGGGCUUAACCUGGGAAUGGCCAUGGAAACUGGCGAACUGGAGUGUGGCAGAGGGGGGUGGAAUUCCGCGUGUAGCAGUGAAAUGCGUAGAGAUGCGGAGGAACACCGAUGGCGAAGGCAGCCCCCUGGGCUAGCACUGACGCUCAGGCACGAAAGCGUGGGGAGCAAACAGG
rnacentral:rRNA from 1 species